GGCGAGGUAGCUCAGCUGGUUAGAGCGCAGGAUUCAUAAUCCUGAGGUCGGCGGUUCAAGCCCGCCUCUCGCUA
rnacentral:tRNA from 1 species